rnacentral:rRNA from 1 species
AGAGUUUGAUCCUGGCUCAGGACGAACGCUGGCGGCGCGCCUAACACAUGCAAGUCGAACGGAGCUGAGAGAAGCUUGCUUUUCUUAGCUUAGUGGCGAACGGGUGAGUAACGCGUGAGUAACCUGCCCUGGAGUGGGGGACAACAGUUGGAAACGACUGCUAAUACCGCAUAAGCCCACGAUCCGGCAUCGGAUUGAGGGAAAAGGAUUUAUUCGCUUCAGGAUGGACUCGCGUCCAAUUAGCUAGUUGGUGAGGUAACGGCCCACCAAGGCGACGAUUGGUAGCCGGACUGAGAGGUUGAACGGCCACAUUGGGACUGAGACACGGCCCAGACUCCUACGGGAGGCAGCAGUGGGGGAUAUUGCACAAUGGGGGAAACCCUGAUGCAGCGACGCCGCGUGGAGGAAGAAGGUUUUCGGAUUGUAAACUCCUGUCGUUAGGGACGAUAAUGACGGUACCUAACAAGAAAGCACCGGCUAACUACGUGCCAGCAGCCGCGGUAAAACGUAGGGUGCAAGCGUUGUCCGGAAUUACUGGGUGUAAAGGGAGCGCAGGCGGACCGGCAAGUUGGAAGUGAAAACUAUGGGCUCAACCCAUAAAUUGCUUUCAAAACUGCUGGCCUUGAGUAGUGCAGAGGUAGGUGGAAUUCCCGGUGUAGCGGUGGAAUGCGUAGAUAUCGGGAGGAACACCAGUGGCGAAGGCGACCUACUGGGCACCAACUGACGCUGAGGCUCGAAAGCAUGGGUAGCAAACAGGAUUAGAUACCCUGGUAGUCCAUGCCGUAAACGAUGAUUACUAGGUGUUGGAGGAUUGACCCCUUCAGUGCCGCAGUUAACACAAUAAGUAAUCCACCUGGGGAGUACGACCGCAAGGUUGAAACUCAAAGGAAUUGACGGGGGCCCGCACAAGCAGUGGAGUAU